ACCAUUCAGAUUUCCUCGUCUGUAAACAUUAAGUAUCUACAUUCACUAAAAGUAGUUCUGAAUGAAUGUUAUUUAAUGGUGCCAAUGAUGUUGGAGGAUACCUGUGCAUCUCAUGCUGUGGUUACAGCAUCAAUUGUGAUGAAUAUAGGAUACUGAGUCCCUCCUAGAAAUGACUUCAGGAACUUCACCCCCCAACUCCACAAUCUGGGAAUGGCAGACAGAUUCAGCACCAGGAGAACAUCACAUAAAGGACAAGUGUGUAUGUUUAAAAAUGGCAAGUUUCGGCCUGGCAUGGUGGCUCACGUCUAUAAUCCCAGCACUUUGGGAGGCUGAGUCUAAGUGUACAGUGCUUGUAAAGUCUGCAGUAGCAUACAGUAAUGUCCAAGGCUUUCACAUCCACUCACCACUCGCUCACUGACCCAGCCAGAGCAACUUCCAGUCCUGAAAGCUGCAUUCAUGACUCAAUCACCACAAUUGCAAUCAAAAGACGGCUUUAGUUGGAACCUGGAACGUGCUAAUCCUGUCAGGCAGCCUGUGAUUCUGGAAGUGAAGGAACAAAAAAAAAAAAAAAAAGGGAAAAUUUCACAUAAAAUUUCCAUAUGAGGAAGAAGAUGGAAACUUUUGUGUUGUGCGUUCAGUAAAACGGGCACUUUCUUAAGCAGGUGGCAAAGAAAGCCUGAGAAUCCGGCCUGACUUUUUCAUUUCAGAACCCUGCAUUUCCCACACAGAGGAGAUAGAGCACAGCCAUUGCAUGGUAGAUCCAGCUUGCUCUCACAGCCAUUGUGCAAAUAAACAUACAUGUGGCAAGGCAGUGCAGUUUUCAGUUGUUAAAAGUUCUGUCAUGCC
rnacentral:lncRNA from 10 species